rnacentral:rRNA from 1 species
AUUGAACGCUGGCGGCAUGCCUUACACAUGCAAGUCGAACGGCAGCACGGGAGCAAUCCUGGUGGCGAGUGGCGAACGGGUGAGUAAUAUAUCGGAACGUGCCCAGUCGUGGGGGAUAACGUAGCGAAAGCUACGCUAAUACCGCAUACGAUCUACGGAUGAAAGCGGGGGAUCGCAAGACCUCGCGCGAUUGGAGCGGCCGAUAUCAGAUUAGGUAGUUGGUGAGGUAAAGGCUCACCAAGCCGACGAUCUGUAGCUGGUCUGAGAGGACGACCAGCCACACUGGGACUGAGACACGGCCCAGACUCCUACGGGAGGCAGCAGUGGGGAAUUUUGGACAAUGGGCGCAAGCCUGAUCCAGCAAUGCCGCGUGCAGGAUGAAGGCCUCGGUUGU